UCGAAACCUGAAAACGGACGACCGCGAACACGUUCUGAUCGCCGUGCCGCGGGGAAGGCAGGCGCGCGGAGACUCAACCCUCCCCGUCGUCCUCCCUCCCCAGGCGCGCCCCGUCCGUGCGGGCGCGAGAGCGCUYGCCCGGGCGAACACACAACCCCGGCGCGGAAAGCGCCAAGGAAAACUCAAAACGAUUGCCCGGCCCCCGACUGUCCCGUCCGCGGAGCGCAGGAGGGGGCGUCGCGGCAUCCGUCGUAACCAAAACGACUCUCGGCAACGGAUAUCUCGGCUCUCGCAUCGAUGAAGAACGUAGCGAAAUGCGAUACUUGGUGUGAAUUGCAGAAUCCCGCGAACCAUCGAGUCUUUGAACGCAAGUUGCGCCCGAAGCCAUUAGGCCGAGGGCACGUCUGCCUGGGCGUCACGCAUCGCGUCGCCACCCCCCCUCGUGCGGGGYGGCGGAUAUUGGCCUCCCGUGCCCGAAGGGUGCGGCCGGCCUAAAUGCGAGUCCUCGGCGAGGGCGUCACGACUAGUGGUGGUUGAAUUCCUCAACUCGAGUCCUCGUCGUGCCGUUCUCCCUCGCCGUUUCUCGGACUCACUCGGCCCCUCCAGCRCGCGCCUCGAGCGCGAGCCUCGACC
rnacentral:misc_RNA from 1 species